AGAGUUUGAUCCUAGCUCAGAAUGAACGCUGGUGGCUUGUUUCAAGACAUGCAAGUUAAACCAAUCAACCAACCAAAUUGAUUUGUAGCAAACGGGUGCGUAAAAUAUAAGAAACUAUCCGGCUGUCUGGGUUGGAUCCUGGAUAAUUACAAAGAUUUCAUCGCAGCCGGGUGAGCUUAUACGGGAUUAGGUAGUUGGUAAGGUAAAAGCUUACCUAGCCCACGAUCCCUAGCUGAUUUUUGCGAAUGGUCAGCCACACUGGAACUGAGAUACGGUCCAGACCCAAUAAGGGGCAGCAGUCGAGAAUCUUAGGCAAUGAGCGAAAGCUUGACCUAGCAAAGCCACGUAUGUGAAGAAGGUCUCUAGAUCGUAAAGCAUUUCUAUUAGGGAUAAUAAUGAUAGUACCUAAAAAAAGUCCUGGCUAAUCUCGUGCCAGCAGCCGCGGUGAUACGAGAAGGGCAAGCGUUAUUCAGAAUUACUGGGCGUAAAGGGUGCGUAGGCGGUUUAAAAUGGCUGUAGACGAAAUUUUAGGGCGCAACCCUGAGGUGUGCUGCAGCAUCACCAAACUAGAGUUCGGGGAGAGGUAACGGAACUUCAGGUGUAGCAAUAAAAUGCUUAGAUAUCUGAAAGAACAUCAAGAGCGAAAGCAGUAACCUUUCCCGAAACUGACGCUAAGGCACGAAAGCGUAGGGAGCAAAAGGGAUUAGAGACCCCUGUAGUCUACGCCCUCAACGAUGAGUGCUCGUCUUUGGCUUGUGCUGUCAGAGACUCAGCUAACGCGUUAAGCACUCCGCCUGGGAAGUACGGUCGCAAGGCUGAAACUCAAAGGAAUUGGCGGGAACUUGGACAAGCGGUGGAGCAUGUGGUUUAAUUCGAUAUUACGCGCAGAAUCUUACCAACCCUCGACAUCUUAGCUAUAGCUAUUUGUCAGCUUACAAGCUAAGACAGGUGCUGCAUGGCUGUCGUCAGCUCGUGCUGUGAAGUGUCUGGUUCAGUCCAAUCAAACGGGCGAAACUCCCAUAACUUAUUUAAUAAACAAACCUCGGUUUAAGCCAGCGGGCUUAUCCCUAGACACUGAUAAGUUAAACUGCCAAAGAUAUUUUGGAGGAAGGUGGGAACGACGUCAAGUCCUCAUGGCCCUCAUGGGUUGGGCUACACACGUGCUACAAUGGCUCACGUAAUAGGCUGCGAAAACGCGAGUUGGAGCAAAUCCUCAAACUGAGCCUCAGUUCAGAUUGUUCUAUGUAACUCUAGAACAUGAAGUCGGAAUCGCUAGUAAUCGUAAAUCAGAAUGUUACGGUGAAUCCGUACUCAAGUUUUGUACACACUGCCCGUCACGCUAUGGGAAUCAACCUUGUCGGAAGGCUACCAUGCAGGCAUUCACGUCAUUGCCUUGUACUAAUGUAACAUUGUUAGGAUAAUAAAUGAGGACCCGCAUGGUCGACUAUGAUAAGGUGGGUAACUAGAGCGAAGUCGUAACAAGGUAGCCGUAGGGGAACCUGUGGCUGGAUUAUAUAAACAUCAUAGAGAAGUUACUCGUGUACUCUCUCCACACUAU
rnacentral:rRNA from 1 species